rnacentral:rRNA from 1 species
AGCAGCCGCGGUAAUUCCAGCUCCAAUAGCGUAUAUUAAAGUUGUUGCAGUUAAAAAGCUCGUAGUUGAAUUUCGGGGUCAGUAGAUUGGUCAUGCCACUGGUAUGUACUGGUCUCACUGAUUCCUCCUUCCUGAUGAGCCGUAAUGCCAUUAAUUUGGUGUUGCGAGGAAUCUGGACUGUUACUUUGAAAAAUUAGAGUGUUUAAAGCAGGCUAACGCUUGAAUACAUUAGCAUGGAAUAAUGAAAUAGGACGUUCGAUCUUAUUUUGUUGGUUUCUAAGAUUGACGUAAUGAUUAAUAGGGAUAGUUGGGGGCAUUAGUAUUCAACUGUCAGAGGUGAAAUUCUUGGAUUUAUUGAAGACUAACUACUGCGAAAGCAUUUGCCAAGGAUGUUUUCAUUAAUCAAGAACGAAAGUUAGGGGAUCGAAGACGAUCAGAUACCGUCGUAGU